CGUGGGGCAGUCUGCAAAGCGAGGCCUUCUCUCCUGGGAGUGCCCGUCCGUAACCACUAGUGGGAACCUCUAGCGGCACAGACCUUAGCGGGAACCAAGGAAGAGGCGCCUGCACUUCCCACCAUAGCCACUGGGUGUCGCUGCAGCCGCGCGGCUGAGCCGGCCCAGGCCGUCGGGAGGCGGGGGCGCGGGUCCAAAGGAGCUGGAUGACCCGAGCCCACCGCCGCCUUCGUCCCCGAAGCAUCCUCCGUGCUUGUUUGUGGCCUGCAGAACCUUCCUCCACCCGCCUGGUCUCUAGAGGCCUCCACCCGGCCCACAGGCUCGCAGCGAAGAGCAAAUCAACCCCCUUGCCCCGCGACGGAUGGGCUCAUUGCUGUGGCCCCGAGCGAGCCUCCUUCGGCAGGCCAGAGGAUAGACGACGCUUCCUCGGCUGCCUUGGCGGGGCCGGAUGUGCUGAAAGUCAGGCCUCCGGAGCUCGCCCCCUGGCAAAGCCGGCAGGCUUUUCCGCCGCAGAGCCGGAGGCGGCUCCCUCGAGCCCGGCGACCGCAUCUCCCCAACUGCUCGGCUGGCGCCGGUCACUGCCACUGACUGCACACGGGCCGGAUUGUUCCCCGGCGAGAAGGGGGAGGAAGAGCGAGCGCCAUGUGCAGCAUCUUCAUGUAGGAAUCUCAGUUUCCAGACCAGGGAUUGAGCUGAGGCUGCGGCGAUGAAAGCACUUAAAUCUCUGGAUGUGCUCAAGAGAGGACUCAUUUUAACCCCCUCGUUCUCACCCCAGCCUGGACCCCUAGCACCCAGGCUUUGGAAGUGGCCCUGGCCAGCCCACAGCCAGCACCAGCCAGCUCGAGCCCGAGGAGCAGCCGCUGAUGGGAUGGUUCUGGGAACCAUGGCAGAUGCCAGGUGGAAGGCAGCAGUUUGCCCUGGUCCUUGCCUCCUCAAAUCCUGCUGAAAAGCAAUAAACUCCGAAGUUUCCGUUGUGGCUCAGUGGUUAACGAAUCCGACUAGGAACCAUGAGGUUGCAGGUUGGAUUCCUGGCCUCGCUCAGUGGGUUAAGGAUCCAGCGUUGCUGUGAGCUGUGGUCACAGAUGCAGGUGGCUACAGCUCCAAUUUGACCCCUAGCCUGGGAACCUCCCUAUGCCGCUGGUGGGGCCCUAGAAAAAGACAAAAAAAAAANAGCAACAAACUCUGGGAGUUUCCAUCAUGGUGCAGUGGAAAUGAAGCUGAUCCAUAUCCAUGAGGAUGCAGGUUCAAUCCCUGGCCUCUCUCGGAUCCAGUGUUGCCGUGAGCUGUGGUGUAGGUCGCAGAUGAGGCUCGGAUCCCUCCUUGCUGUGGCUGUGGCGUAGGCCGGCAGCUGCAGCUCCAAUUUGACCCUGAGCAUGGGAACGUUCAUAUACCUCAGGUGCAGCCCUAAAAAAGGGAGAAAGAAAGAAAGAAAAAAUUCUGCACCCCUGCACCCCUCUCAGGACUAAGCUAUAGUAAGCUUUUCAGGGUAAAUCCUCACCCAGUAGAUUCCAGGCAAAGGUGGAUGUGGGCUUGCUGCCCAUCUCUGUCUGCUGGGCCUGGUUCCCCAGCCGGGGAUUAGCCAAGGUGGGGGCUGCUUCAGUCACGAGUGGCUGCUAAGGCUGCCAAGCCUGGUCCAGGAUGUCUUUCUCAAGGUCACCUCAGGACAACGACCUCCCUUCCACCCCCAGCCAGAGACCAGGCUGCAGGGAAGGGAGGGGCUCUCCAGGGGAGGACCCCCUACAGGCCACAUGGGAAUUCUACCUGGAAUUCAGCCAGGCAAGGGUAGCAGCACAGCCCAGACCUGGGGUGAAAUCCCAGUUCUCCCACUAGCUGUGAUGUGGGGCAGUUGUCCUCAGUGCAUCAGCUUCUUCACCUACAAAAUGGGAUCCUGCCACCCCGUCCCCAACCAAUCUUUUUUUUUUUUUGUCUUUCUGCUAUUUCUUUGGGCCGC
rnacentral:lncRNA from 1 species